UUUUUUUGACAACUCUAGUUUUUUAAGGAACCUCCAUACUGUUCUCCAUAGUGGCUGUAUCAAUAUACAUUCCCACGAACAGUGGAAGAGGGCUCCCUUUGCUCCACAUCUCCUCUAGCAUUUAGUGUUUGUAGAUUUUUUAAUGAUGGCCAUUCUGACCAGUGUGAGGAUUGUACUUUUGAUUUGCAUUUCUCUAAUGAUU